rnacentral:rRNA from 1 species
GAACGCUGGCGGCGUGCUUAACACAUGCAAGUCGAGCGGAAAGGCCCUUCGGGGUACUCGAGCGGCGAACGGGUGAGUAACACGUGAGCAACCUGCCCUAGGCUUUGGGAUAACCCUCGGAAACGGGGGCUAAUACCGAAUAUGACCUCCGAUCGCAUGGUUGGUGGUGGAAAGUUUUUCGGCCUGGGAUGGGCUCGCGGCCUAUCAGCUUGUUGGUGGGGUGAUGGCCUACCAAGGCGACGACGGGUAGCCGGCCUGAGAGGGCGACCGGCCACACUGGGACUGAGACACGGCCCAGACUCCUACGGGAGGCAGCAGUGGGGAAUAUUGCACAAUGGGCGGAAGCCUGAUGCAGCGACGCCGCGUGAGGGAUGACGGCCUUCGGGUUGUAAACCUCUUUCAGCAGGGACGAAGCGAAAGUGACGGUACCUGCAGAAGAAGCGCCGGCCAACUACGUGCCAGCAGCCGCGGUAAGACGUAGGGCGCGAGCGUUGUCCGGAUUUAUUGGGCGUAAAGAGCUCGUAGGCGGC